UACGGAGGGGGCUAGCGUUGUUCGGAAUUACUGGGCGUAAAGCGCACGUAGGCGGCUUUAUAAGUCAGAGGUGAAAGCCCGGAGCUCAACUCCGGAACUGCCUUUGAUACUGAGGAUCUUGAGUUCGGGAGAGGUGAGUGGAACUGCGAGUGUAGAGGUGAAAUUCGUAGAUAUUCGCAAGAACACCAGUGGCGAAGGCGGCUCACUGGCCCGAUACUGACGCUGAGGCACGAAAGCGUGGGGAGCAAACAGG
rnacentral:rRNA from 1 species